AUGUGUGGGUGUGUGUGUGUGUUGUGUUGUGUGUUUGCAGAAAGAAAAAGAGAGCACACACUCUGCAAAAGCAGCUCGGUGCAUCAGAAGUGUCUUCUGUAAUGCCAGCUCGCCCACAGAACUGAAAGAAUUACGAACGAAACGUGUGGAAAAAGCUCGCCUGCUGAUGUGAGCAAGGGGAAUGAGUCGAAGAUGCAAUUUUGCACCUGCGUCAAUGACGACCGCAGAGACAUACGGUGGAGAAGGGGACGCAGAUGAGCUCUGACCCUAAACGGUCAUUAACGGGUUCUCAGAAUAUUCAGCUCGGGAAGAAACAGGGAAGAGCAGCGCUGCCCUCUCGUGGUCAGAGCCGGGCACUGCACCUCUCGAGUUCAGGCUGCACCUGAGGCAGUUGGCGGCUUUUGCACGGAACAUGACGCCAUCGUGGGUCCUUUCAUCUGGCCAGAGAGA
rnacentral:lncRNA from 1 species